rnacentral:tRNA from 1 species
CGGGUUGUGGCGCAGCUUGGUAGCGCACCUGACUGGGGGUCAGGGGGUCGCAGGUUCAAAUCCUGUCAACCCGAC